rnacentral:rRNA from 1 species
UGGCUCGGCCUUGGCAUCUUCUUGGAGAACGUAACUGCACUUUGACUGUGUGGUGCGGUAUUCAAGACUUUUACUUUGAGGAAAUUAGAGUGUUUCAAGCAGGCGCACGCCUUGAAUACAUUAGCAUGGAAUAAUGAGAUAGGACCUUGGUUCUAUUUUGUUGGUUUCUAGAGCUGAGGUAAUGAUUGAUAGGGACAGUUGGGGGUAUCAGUAUUCUGAAGCGAGAGGUGAAAUUCUUGGACCUUCGGAAGACUAACAACUGCGAAAGCAUUUACCUAGGAUGUUCUCUUUAAUCAAGAACGAAAGUAGGGGGAUCGAAGACGAUCAGAUACCGUUGUGGUCUCUACUAUAAACUAUGCCAGCUAGGGAUGAGAGGAUGUUUAAUUACGACUCCUUUGCACCUUAUGAGAAAUCAAAGCAUUUGGGUUCCGGGGGGAGUAUGGUCGCAAGGCUGAAACUUAAAGGAAUUGACGGAAGGGCACCACCCAGGAGU